rnacentral:rRNA from 1 species
UGUCGCGAGAUGUUGGUUAAGUCCCGCAACGAGCGCAACCCUUGUCAUUAGUUGCUACAUUCAGUUGGGCACUCUAAUGAGACUGCCGGUGACAAGCCGGAGGAAGGUGGGGAUGACGUCAAGUCCUCAUGGCCCUUAUAGGUGGGGCUACACACGUCAUACAAUGGCUGGUACAAAGGGUUGCCAACCCGCGAGGGGGAGCUAAUCCCAUAAAGCCAGUCGUAGUCCGGAUCGUAGUCUGCAACUCGACUACGUGAAGUCGGAAUCGCUAGUAAUCGUGGAUCAGAAUGUCACGGUGAAUACGUUCCCGGGUCUU